rnacentral:rRNA from 1 species
AUGGUGCCGGCCGAGGCGGUGGCGCGGGCGGUGGCGAGGUUCUUGGAACCAGGUGGAACGGGGGAGACGGCGAGGUGCCGAGCGCAGGAGCUCGCAGUGAAGGCUCGCGCGGCCGUGUCGGAAGGCGGGUCGUCGUCCUGUGAUCUGCGCAGGCUUAUCGACGACCUGAUGGAAACAAGGGAGGCCGUCGCCGACGGUCGGCGACACUACUACGUCACGCGCUGCUGA